rnacentral:tRNA from 1 species
AUCUGGCUGGCUCAGUAGGUAGAGUAUGUGACUCUUGAUCUUGGGAUUGUGAGUUCGAGCCCCACGUUGGGUG